rnacentral:lncRNA from 1 species
UGUUCUUUGAAUAAUGAUAAGUUUUCCCAUGUCUGUCCAUAGUGUCCAGCAGGAGAGAUCAGUGUCACCCACACCUAGCUGUGUAUCCAUGAAGAGCAACAGAUCAAUUCAACCACCAACAAACUUCAAGGAGGGAGAAUUGCCUACAUGUCAAAGUGUCCAGCAAGAGAGAUCAAUGUUACCUCCACCCAGUGGUUUUUCUCUGAAGAGUGAUGGGUCCAUGCAGGCAGUGAACAACUUCAGGGAUGGAGAACUUCCUGCGGCUCAAACUGAGGAGGAGACAUCAGUCUCACCUGUAUUCAGUUGUAUAUCCAUGAAGAGUGAUCGGUCAAUGCAUCCACCAAACUACUUCAAGGAGGGAGAAUCAUCUACCCAUGAAAGGUAGAUGUUCAUUUUUAACCAAAUCAUCUUAGGAGGUGAGAUGUGUG